CAAUAGCGUAUAUUAAAGUGGUUGCAGUUAAAAAGCUCGUAGUUGGAUUUCUGGUUGAAGCGACCGGUCGGGCGUUGAUUCGUCUGCACUGGAGUCGGUUUUGGCCAUCCUCUAGGAAAGUGCGUCUGGUAUUAAGUUAUCGGGCGUAUGAUCCUGGUCUUUUACUGUGAAAAAAUUAGAGUGUUUAAAGCAGGCCUUCGCCUUGAAUACAUUAGCAUGGAAUAAUAAGAUAGGACUUUGGUCUAUUUUGUUGGUUUGCAGACCGAAGUAAUGAUUAAUAGGGAUAGUUGGGGGUAUUUAUAUUCCGAUGUCAGAGGUGAAAUUCUUAGAUUUUCGGAAGAUAAACUUAUGCGAAAGCAUUUACCAAGGAUGUUUUCAUUAA
rnacentral:rRNA from 1 species